GAAAUGUCUCUUUUCAAAAGCUUUACAAAAUUGGUAUCUUCAAGCAGGGUAUCAGGAGCUCCUGAAAAAAUAAUACAUGACACUAUUUUUCACAGCCCUAGAUUAAUUUGGGCAUUAUUUUUUCUAAGAUUUGGAUAUAGUUGAGAAUUUAUAUUUUUGACACCAUCACAAAAUUCUUAUGUCAUUACUUGCAGCUUCUUGAGUAGGUUACUUGCAUAAAUUUCUGCUGCCAAUAUAUGCAUGGAUUUCUUACCUUUUUAAACUGUUCUUUGGUUACAGAAGCUGCUUUUCUAAGAUCACCAAAUUACGGGAUUUCAAAAGCGGUGGCAAAUUUACCUUUGCUCAUUAUGGUGACUGCUGACUUUUUGCUGAAGCUACAACGUCCUAUGGCUUUUAUUGUGAUCCCACUUUUCCGUGGAUUCUACAGACAAUUAGAGUUUCACAAUCAUUGUCGUCGAUACUUAAAGGACCAGGUCCAAGUCAGAUGUCUCUCCAUUCGUCUCCAGCUUCCAGCCACAAGAAGCAGGAUUUAGCUGUGUGUUCAAAGCCUCAUCCAAAUUUUGAAUGUAAUGGCAGAAAUGUAGAUUGACUGUUGGAUGACAACUAGAAAUCUGUGACAUAUACUAUGCCAGGCACACUGUUCUUUUCAAUAAAUGCUUUUAUAUCUAAAAAGUAAUCA
rnacentral:lncRNA from 1 species